CAACACAGCCACGCACGCUGGGCUGGACCGACACCAGCACACGCACGCUCCUCUGCCUCUCGAUUCCCCUUCUCCUUCUCACGCGAUGCAGCGGCCGUGGCUGCUGGGUACACUCCGGCCGAUACCGGCCGCCUCCGGCGCUGCUGCCAGACGCCGCAGCUCCGCCCUGGCAUCCUCUCCUAUUUCCCGGCACCGCGACGCUCCCUUGCUCUCUCACGCAUACGAGCACCGGCGACGCUGCGCUCCGCCGCUUUUCUUCGGCUGCCUCCGGCCUGCUCUGGCGCCGGCGAGAUGUUUUUCGGGCUCCCCUCGACGUCCUCUACCUCUCUGUCCCACUCGAUUUGAUUUUCCAGCUCUACCUCCUCCGUCCCCAAACCUAGAAACCCUAGUGGUCGCUGGUCGGUUUGGCCGUCGCCGGCCAACCUCCACGUCGUUGCUAGUCGCUGCUAGUCGCUAUUGUUGUCCGGUGAGGCUUCGCCCUCACACGACGCCUCGAUGCCGACAUGCUCCUGCUCACGCUCAGCGCUCCCUAGCGUGGAUCCGCCGCCAUAUUCUCCCGGUCGUUGAUGGCUGACCGGCGGGGCUCCACCAUAUAAGCGCCGCCACCACGCCCCCAAGCGCCUCCACACGCGCUCGGCCGAACCCUAGGUUCGCCGGUGUGAUGCUGCAAGUCGCUGCUGCUCCCCAUUGGCGACCCGCCUCCUCGUCGACCACGAGCCCCAGCUCGAGCUCGCCAUCUCGGUGGUGUCUGGUGGUUAGGCGUGCCGUUCCUAGCGCUGUGUUGUGCUGUGCUGUUGCGACUACUUCAUCCUCGACGCCGGUCGAAUGACGUCGCGGGCGCAACCCCAACGUCAACUAUUGCACCUACUUCGCUACUUUAAUCACUUAUCUGAUGGAGAGAUGACUGCUAAAUGGACUGUUGGUGCGGCUGGUUUGGUGUGGUUUGCAAGGAAAUCUGCUAUUGCUACUACCAGGUGGUUUUUAUACUGAUGUGAUAUCUACCGUGGGGAUGACAACACAUAGAUUGCAUGUGUGUGUGUGAGCUGCUAGGUAGGUUGCUCCCUCUCCAUGAGCAGGUUGCAAACUUGACUUUGUUUGCCUCAUUUGCAAGGCACGGAUCAACCUUGUACUUAUCCCCUGUUGGACUUUAUUUAAGAUACAGCCAAGUGUAUAUCUCUUAUUGGUCUUCUGUGACUAAAUGGAUUCAACUGAUGAGCUUAAAUAUUGAUAGCUCAAGUAUUAAUUACACUUUGCUUAAUUAGCAAUUGACUUUGCAUUAAGUGCUUAGGAUCAUUUUGACCCUUCCAUGUCAAACAUGAUCCAAUUAAAUAAGAUGGUGAGCUUUAUGAUUUGUAGCUAGAUUAGAGGGAAUAAAAAUUGUUGCCUUGCUGCCUCAAGUAGUGAAUCAAUUAUUGUUGCCUUUUGAUAUGGAUCAAGUAGUGUUGCUUUAGUCCACGGUUGUCUUUAUUCCAUGUUGCCUCAUGAUCCAAGAUUUACUCAACUAUGCUUGGUUGAUCCAUAUGUUGUCGAAAUAUGAUUAAAUCCCUCUAAUCACUAUUUGGGGAUUAGGACAAGUUCCUAGUUCUCAUUAGCUAGUCUCCGAUAUUAAAAAUGUCUCCCAAAUAUGGAGACAAACAUUUUAAUAUUAACCCAAUGUUAUUUCUCUUUUGCCUUUGCUUUCUUUCUCUUUUGCAGGAAAAGAAUAAGAAGAUUGGGAGAGAUUUGGAAGAUGAAGAUUUAGUUUAGGAUUUCCUCUUUAUUACUUUUGUAAUCUUCUAUUUCUUUUGGAGCUUGUAUAUGAUUGAAUUAUGAUAAUUGUAAUAAGGUUUAAAUUAUCCAUCUAUUUUUAAUUAUCAAAUGUGUUAACUUUUA